UCCCCCAGAUCACCCUCAACUUCGUGGACUUCAAGGCGGACGCGUUCCUGGCCGCGCCGUCCAGCGAGAAGGAGAUCAUCGCCCCCACCAAGCUCAAGGACCGCACGCACAACGUCACCGAGAAGGUCACCCAGGUGCUGGCCCUCGGCACUG